UGCAAGUCGAGCGGUAACAGGCAUUUUGAUUCAGCUUGCUGAAUCUCGCGCUGACGAGCGGCGGACGGGUGAGUAACGCGUAGGAAUCUACCUAGUAGAAGGGGAUAGCCCGGGGAAACUCGGAUUAAUACCGUAUACGUCCUUAGGGAGAAAGAGGGCUUAGCUUUGAUGCUCUCGCUAUUAGAUGAGCCUGCGUAAGAUUAGCUCGUUGGUGAGGUAAAGGCUCACCAAGGCUACGAUCCUUAGCUGGUCUGAGAGGACGAUCAGCCACAUUGGGACUGAGACACGGCCCAGACUCCUACGGGAGGCAGCAGUGGGGAAUAUUGGACAAUGGGCGCAAGCCUGAUCCAGCCAUACCGCGUGUGUGAAGAAGGCCUUCGGGUUGUAAAGCACUUUAAGUAAGGAAGAAAAGUAUAUUGUUAAUACCAAUGUACCGUGACAUUACUUACAGAAUAAGGACCGGCUAAUUCCGUGCCAGCAGCCGCGGUAAUACGGAAGGUCCAAGCGUUAAUCGGAAUUACUGGGCGUAAAGCGCGCGUAGGUGGUUUAUUAAGUUGGGUGUGAAAGCCCCGGGCUCAACCUGGGAACUGCAUCCAAAACUGAUUCACUAGAGUACGAAAGAGGGAGGUAGAAUUCACAGUGUAGCGGUGGAAUGCGUAGAUAUUGUGAAGAAUACCAAUGGCGAAGGCAGCCUCCUGGUUCUGUACUGACACUGAGGUGCGAAAGCGUGGGUAGCGAACAGGAUUAGAUACCCUGGUAGUCCACGCCGUAAACGAUGACAACCAGCUGUUGGGAAGCAAUGCUUUUCAGUGGCGCAGCUAACGUCUUAAGUUGUCCGCCUGGGGAGUAC
rnacentral:rRNA from 1 species